rnacentral:rRNA from 1 species
AGGACGAACGCUGGCGGCGUGCUUAACACAUGCAAGUCGAGCGGAAAGGCCCUUCGGGGUACUCGAGCGGCGAACGGGUGAGUAACACGUGAGCAACCUGCCCUUAGCUCUGGGAUAGCUCCGGGAAACCGGAAUUAAUACCGGAUAUUACACCGGCUGGCAUCGGCUGGUGUGGAAAGAUUUAUCGGCUAAGGAUGGACUCGCGGCCUAUCAGCUUGUUGGUGGGUAGAAGCCUACCAAGGCGACG